CGGACAGGUACGAAUUAUUUCACGAUGUUGUCAAUCUAGGGUUUUUGCCGUCAUAAUCUUAUUUUAUCGCAUAGAUGAAGCUAAGUUCAUUUCAAUAGAAGACAGUUAGGGUUUUCUUGUGUUUGGUUUUGCUUUAUAUGUGAAUUGGUGAUCUUGUAAUGUUAAUUGCUUCAGCUGGUUCUGAUAUUCUAUCUGCAGCAUGAGUUCUUUAAAUCACUGAAGAUGUUUAAGAACACAUUUCAGUCUGGAUUUUUGUCCAUCUUAUACAGCCUUGGGAGCAAACCUUUGCAGAUAUGGGAUAAAGAAGGUAAGUAGCUGGAGUUAUUGGUAAAUAUUUUGAAUUGUUAUAAAACCACUUUUUCCCCUUUGUUUAUUUUUGGGAUUUUUCCUCUGCUUCUGUUUGCAAGUUAUUAUACAUGCUUUGAUGUUUCUCUUAGGAAGUUGUUAUAUGUGGUUUCUUGUUGUGUUCUUUGUGUGAUUGUUGGUCCAAAGGGAUGUUGCUAAUUUAUUGUAGAAAUGUUUUGCCAAGCAGCAGUGACUCAUGAAACUUGUGUUCUAUAUGGUUCAUAUUCUAGGGAUAAGCGGGAAUACCACAUGUAUUGGUUUUCACCGACUUGUUAGCUGCAGUAUUCUGUUUCCCAUGGGAGGACUACAUAAGCAUUUAUAGUUUUUAUAUUGAAUGAGUUUGUAGAAACAAAAGGUUGACUGUAUGAAUAAUUUAUCCGCAUCUAACUGUUGCAGUAUCAGGAGAAUGUAGUCAUGUACGAUAAGUGGAACUGCAGAAGUGUAUGACUUCCAGAGACACUAGUCUUAUCACUUUAGUGGAGAUGGCUAUGAAAUAUUUAUGAGUUUUUAAGUGACUGAAAUCAUUUGUAUAACUAACUUAGUACUUAAACCAAAUGACCUUAAAAUGACGAAGGAAAAAAAACCCUAAUCGUGCUUACCAUAUGGUUAACAUGGUAACAUGUGCUACAGUUUUUGCAAGGGAAGUUCUAUAUCUACUCUACCAUUGCAGAACAAAAUUUGGUGAUAGAGGCAAAUAAAGCACCUGUUUAUUUAUUUUAGCUGUUGUUCACAUAGUGAUGCCUUAAUAUUACUUGACAUGACACGUUGCAAUUUAUUAUUUGCUGAACUGAAUGUUCUGUGUUACCUUUUUGCCUAUGAGUCUUUUGCAGUUUCCAGUGGUCAUGUAAAACGGCCACAUGAUGAAGACAUACAAUCUAAUGUGCUUGAAAUUAUUGGAUCAAAUAUCCAGUCUACAUACAUUACAUGCCCAGCAGAUCCUGCUGCAACUCUUGGUAUAAAACUCCCAUUUUUGGUUAUGAUUGUGAAGAACUUGAAGAAAUACUUCACAUUUGAAAUUCAAGUGCUGGAUGAUAAGAAUGUCAGGCGGCGUUUCCGAGCUUCUAACUUUCAAGCCAUUACUCGAGUGAAGCCAUACAUCUGCACCAUGCCACUGAAGAUGGAUGAGGGCUGGAAUCAAAUCCAGUUGAACUUGGCUGAUUUUACAAGGAGGGCAUAUGGAACCAAUUAUGUUGAGACUUUACGAGUUCAGGUUCAUGCUAAUUGCCGGCUGAGGAGAAUAUAUUUCUCUGACCGCCUCUACUCAGAAGAGGAACUCCCUCCAGAAUUUAAACUCUAUCUUCCAAUGCAGAAAGCAUGAGAAGUUCCAGGCUUUAGAAUCAUCACUUCAAAAUGAGCUAGAGCUCGUGCUGGGUUUUAUCAUUCUGCAUCUGUAAACUGGUUCUAUCUUGGUUUUCUUGUGUUUUGUGUUAAUAUGAGAGGUACCAAAUUCCAGAAGUGAUCAUGCAGCAAUUAUCCCAUUAUGUUUUGGGUGGCUUCCAUGGACAUAGGAAGUGGAACUUUGUUUACAGUAAUAACUGUUUGAAUCCUUUAUGAUUCUCUUGAUUUGAUGGUUUGAUUUUGUUUAUCUUUACUUGGCUGUUAACACGGUAGGUAGGCCUUGUAGGAACAGAAUAUCAGUAUCUACAAUUUAGCUAACCCGUUAAGAUGAUUCCUCAGAUCAUUCGAGUUCAGAGACCUCUACUGAAUUGCUGUGCAGCUUGGUUCGCUUAUUCACCGCAACAAAAGUUAUGAAAGGUCCAGACCAAACAUGGGCCCGAAAGUUAAUCAGACAAGUUCAGACAAAACUUAGUAGAAGAAAUAAUACAAAUAUGUAAUGCUCACCAUUUUCAAAUUAGAU
rnacentral:misc_RNA from 1 species